rnacentral:rRNA from 1 species
UACGGAGGGUCCGAGCGUUAAUCGGAAUUACUGGGCGUAAAGCGUGCGCAGGCGGUUUGUUAAGCGAGAUGUGAAAGCCCUGGGCUCAACCUAGGAAUAGCAUUUCGAACUGGCGAACUAGAGUCUUGUAGAGGGGGGUAGAAUUCCAGGUGUAGCGGUGAAAUGCGUAGAGAUCUGGAGGAAUACCGGUGGCGAAGGCGGCCCCCUGGACGAAGACUGACGCUCAGGUGCGAAAGCGUGGGGAG